rnacentral:tRNA from 1 species
GGAGGUUUAGCUCAGUGGUAGAGUGCAUGCCUAGCCUGCACAAGGUCCCGGGUUCAAUCCCUGGUACCUCAA